rnacentral:ncRNA from 1 species
GUCCAAGUACAUACCUUAAAACGGUGAAACCGAAAAUAGCUUAUUAAAUCAGCUAUAGUUCCUUAAAUAUUAAAUGCUACAUGGAUAACUGUAGCACUUCUAAUGCUAAUAUUUACCUUGUAUCUCUAACCCGCUAAUAGGCGGUUGAAUUUAAUAGAACAGAACCAACCAGAUGGAGUUGCGGCUAUUCCUGCUACAUUGUGCGAUAACUCUGAAUAGCUUUACUGAUCGCAAUAGACUAUGUGUCGGUGAGGUAUCUUUAAAAUAUCUACUCUAUCAAUGUUGGUCUAGCUUAGAUCGACUUGUGCAUUUAACCAACAAAUAUAUUUUACAUCGAAU